rnacentral:tRNA from 1 species
UCCCAUAUGGUCUAGCAAUUAGGAUUCCUGGUUUUCAACCAGGCGGCCUGGGUUCAACUCCCGGUAUGGGAA